AAAUUCGCCAUUUUCGGUUUGCUGUGUCCCUGCUUUAGUGAAGCAGCUGCUGAUCUAUUGUUCUUGCUGCAAAACCUGUUUUGAAGCUCCUGUCAAAGUCAUUGUGUUAUCCAAGAAUGUGGCAAUGUAAAAAAUGUGACAACUCAUAUUCAAGAAGAUCUAAAGGCAUCUUGGAGAGAAGGCCUGCACUUUAUCAGAUGGAAAAGGUUGUACUAGUCCUCAAUCUUGGAGUGAAACAGGACUCAUUUCCUUCUCAAACAACAAACAUGAUGUCCAAGGAGAUGACAUCUUAACUAGCAGAGGACUACCAUGGGUAUCUAUAUCAUGAAGGUGGAAGGUGGAGACACUGGAGUCGAUGCAGAUGUUGGAAUUGUUAUUGACAGCGCCAUCAUUCUGGACAAUCUGAACACUGUAGCAAGAGCCUGUGCAAUGAUGUUAGGGAUGAUUUAUGCACUAAAGUUAAAGUAUCCCAAAGAGCUAAAAUGCUACUAUGAAUCUGUGCAAAAACUACUAAAGCAAAUUAAUGCUAAAAGGCUGCCCCCUAAACUUUUUGGCCUGAACAACAUGCUAUGUGAAAAUCUGUAGUGUCUGUGUUAUGUAAAGCAUUUUUGUAAUACUCUUAAAGAGAGGAUUUUGUUCUGUUGUACUUUAUGAGAUUCUUCAAAUGCGCAGUUUCAUAUGUCAACAUUCUG